AGACAGUGGACAGAACGCAGCGGUCGGAAUUGCGUGUUUAGCUUAAAUGGCGCGCACGGAAAAAAAAAACCAAAUUCGAUUUUAUUGUGUUUCGGGAUAAUAAUCGAAAUAUAAAUUUCGCGAAUAUAAUAUUCGAAUGCCGUAAGUUUCGUUAACAACAACGCGCCGUCGAGUUCACUACACAAAUAAAAUGUGAAAAUAAAGCCGCUGCUGCUUGGUGCUCUUUUGUAUGUGUGUGUGUGUGCUUGCUACACUUCUGCUUUUGCUUCUGUUUCUGCUUCUCUGUCUAUGUGAGGCAUUAUGACAUUCACAGCAGCAGCAGCACCAGGCAGCAGCAAGUAGCGUCGUGAGCCUGCAGCGACGUCGCAGCUGCUGCGCUGGGUGGUGGUGAAUUUAGUGUCUGUGUGUGUGUGUUGUGCGGGAGAACAGAACGAACCCACUACAGUGGGCGCCAGAUGUGUAAGCUUGCAAGCAACCCUCGAAAAAACACUGGUACAGUGGUACACGCAAACAUUCGCAAACGCUUUUGCUGAUUACGAUGAAGCGUCUUCUAUGUGGUUCCUGAAAAUAUGCUACAAUUAUGUUAUAUGCAAUGAGCGAAACGUUUGCAAGAUGUGUUGUUUUUUUUCAUUUCGUUUCGUGCCGUUUCGUGUCUCGUUCGUGCCAAAGUCGUGAGUCAUACGUUCGUUUUCGUGAUUCAUAGCUCGCUUUCGUGCUUUCUUCGUGCUUUAAUCGUUUCAUCGUUAAAUCGCGUCCAUCGUCACUUUUAUUUUACUUUCGUGCCUAAGUCGUGACUCAAUCGUUUUAUAUUUGUACUCAUUCAUUUCACGUUCGUGUCACGCGUCGUGUGUGUUGUGUUGUGACUUAAUCGUUUCAUCGUUAUCGUUCAUCGAUAAUCGUUUCGUGUUUGUGUCACGCGUUUUAAUCGUGUCUAUCGUAUCCCUUAUUAUGCUUUAGUGCUUUACUCGUGCUCAUUUAUUACGUGUCAUGCGUCUAACGUGACCCAUAUUUCGCUUUUGUGCUCGUGCUUUCGUGACUCGAUCGUUUCAUAGUCAAAUUUCGUGAUCUUGUCACACGUUUUAAUCACGUCUAUCGUGACUAAAUCAUUUCAUACUCGUGCUGAUUCAUAUCGCGUUCGUGUCACGAGUUUUAAUCACGUCUAUCGCAACUCUUACUUUCCUUUCGUGCCUUACUCGUAAUCGUCAAUCAUUUCAAACUCGUGCUGAUUCAUAUCGCUUUCGUGUCACGCGUCGUGAGUGUUGUGUUUGGCUGCUCACGGUGUCAUCUCUAGCUGUGCUGCGGGAUCCGUUGGGAUGACAGCCAAAGUGCUUUUUUUGUUGUGUUACAAAAUUUAAUAUGCUCAAUUCUUCGAAGUUUCUUCAAUAAUUUUUAAAGCUCAAACUGACCGAGUGAACUCAGCAUCGGUUGAUGCUAACUAACUGGAAUUUGCUUGGU